AAAUCCUCUAUCUCCUCCAACAAGAUCCCAAAUCCCCCAAAUACCAAAUCCCUCAUUCAAAUCCCCAAAUCCAAUCCUCCACUCCCAAAAAUUGAAGGUGAAAAUUAUUCUCAAAAACUCCCAAAAGAUCUCCUGUAAUUAUCUUCUAAAAACUACUCGUUAAUUCAAGUAUCUCCAAUUUGAAAUUCCUAUUCCGUUGCUCACUCGUUUCGAAACGAUUCAAUUCAAUCAUCUCAGCCACCACCUCUUCAAUCCAAACUCUUUCCCUAACAAACAACAUUAACACCCAAAUCAAAAAGAAAUUCCUCAAAAAAAUCAUGGGAAAGUUUCAUAAUCUUAAAUCUUUGUACAUAGAGUACAACAAAUUGGAAUCUAAUCUCAAAUGGAAAGCAGUUUACAGAUCUGGAAUUUAUUGCUUUGUAGCUAUCCAAAUGAAAUGGGAAUCAAAAGUACAUAGGAGUUGAUUCCGAAUCAGAUUUGGAACCCGAUGCAGUCCUGCAACGUUCAAAAAGGAUUUCUGCGAUGAUGAAAUUCCAUGAGUUAAUGGUGUUAUUUAUUCGUAAGCACAAAAUGCUUAAUAAUGUUGAUUUGUAGGUAAAUUUGGGGAUUUGAAUGAGGGAUUUGGUAUUUGGGGGAUUUGGGAUCUUGUCGGAGGAGACAGAGGAUUUGGUAUUUUGAUUAUUUGUAUUAUUUAGAAUUAAAAUAAUUAAAAGAAAGGAAAAGAGAUAAAGGAA
rnacentral:lncRNA from 1 species